rnacentral:rRNA from 1 species
GGUUAAGUGACUAAGCGUACACGGUGGAUGCCUUGGCAGUCAGAGGCGAUGAAAGACGUAGUAACUUGCGAUAAGCCCAGAUUAGGUAGUAACAACCAUUUGAGUCUGGGAUUUCUGAAUGGGGAAACCCACGUGCAUAAGCACGUAUCCUUACCUGAAUACAUAGGGUAAGGAGGCGAACCGGGGGAACUGAAACAUCUAAGUACCCCGAGGAAAAGAAAUCAACCGAGAUUCCGAAAGUAGCGGCGAGCGAAAUUGGACUAGCCCUUAAGCUUUACACGCGUUAGACGAACGGUCUGGAAAGUCCGACGAUACAGGGUGAUAGUCCCGUAGUUGACGACGUGUGUUCAGUGAAAUCGAGUAGGGCGGGACACGUGAUAUCCUGUCUGAAUAUGGGGGGACCAUCCUCCAAGGCUAAAUACUACUGACUGACCGAUAGUGAACCAGUACCGUGAGGGAAAGGCGAAAAGAACCCCUGUGAGGGGAGUGAAAUAGAACCUGAAACCGUGUACGUACAAGCAGUAGGAGCAGGCUUUGUCCUGUGACUGCGUACCUUUUGUAUAAUGGGUCAGCGACUUAUAUUCAGUGGCAAGGUUAACCAUCUAGGGGAGCCGUAGGGAAACCGAGUCUUAACUGGGCGUUCAGUCUCUGGAUAUAGACCCGAAACCAGGUGAUCUAGCCAUGGGCAGGUUGAAGGUUGAGUAACAUCAACUGGAGGACCGAACCGACUAAUGUUGAAAAAUUAGCGGAUGACUUGUGGCUAGGGGUGAAAGGCCAAUCAAACCUGGAGAUAGCUGGUUCUCCCCGAAAGCUAUUUAGGUAGCGCCUCGGACGAAUACUACUGGGGGUAGAGCACUGUUAAGGCUAGGGGGUCAUCCCGACUUACCAACCCUUUGCAAACUCCGAAUACCAGUAAGUACUAUCCGGGAGACACACGGCGGGUGCUAACGUCCGUCGUGGAGAGGGAAACAACCCAGACCGCCAGCUAAGGUCCCAAAUUACUACUAAGUGGGAAACGAUGUGGGAAGGCUCAGACAGCCAGGAUGUUGGCUUAGAAGCAGCCAUCAUUUAAAGAAAGCGUAAUAGCUCACUGGUCGAGUCGGCCUGCGCGGAAGAUGUAACGGGGCUAAGUAGUAAACCGAAGCUGCGGCAAUGUGCUUUUGCACAUUGGGUAGGGGAGCGUUCUGUAAGCGGUUGAAGGUGUGUGGUAACGCAUGCUGGACGUAUCAGAAGUGCGAAUGCUGACAUGAGUAACGAUAAAGGGGGUGAAAAACCUCCUCGCCGGAAGACCAAGGGUUCCUGUCCAACGUUAAUCGGGGCAGGGUAAGUCGACCCCUAAGGCGAGGCCGAAAGGCGUAGUCGAUGGGAAACGGGUUAAUAUUCCCGUACUUCUUACAAUUGCGAUGGGGGGACGGAGAAGGCUAGGUGGGCCUGGCGACGGUUGUCCAGGUUCAAGUGCGUAGGCUUAAGAGUUAGGUAAAUCCGGCUCUUUUUAAGGCUGAGACACGACGUCGAGCCACUACGGUGGUGAAGUCAUUGAUGCCAUGCUUCCAGGAAAAGCCUCUAAGCUUCAGAUUGUAAGGAAUCGUACCCCAAACCGACACAGGUGGUCGGGUAGAGAAUACCAAGGCGCUUGAGAGAACUCGGGUGAAGGAACUAGGCAAAAUGGUACCGUAA